GAUGAACGCUGGCGGCGUGCCUAAUACAUGCAAGUCGAGCGAACGGACGAGAAGCUUGCUUCUCUGAUGUUAGCGGCGGACGGGUGAGUAACACGUGGAUAACCUACCUAUAAGACUGGGGUAACUUCGGGAAACCGUAGCUAAUACCGGAUAAUAUUUUGAACCGCAUGGUUCAACAGUGAAAGACGGUCUUGCUGUCACUUAUAGAUGGAUCCGCGCUGCAUUAGCUAGUUGGUAAGGUAACGGCUUACCAAGGCAACGAUGCAUAGCCGACCUGAGAGGGUGAUCGGCCACACUGGAACUGAGACACGGUCCAGACUCCUACGGGAGGCAGCAGUAGGGAAUCUUCCGCAAUGGGCGAAGGCCUGACGGAGCAACGCCGCGUGAGUGAUGAAGGUCUUCGGAUCGUAAAACUCUGUUAUUAGGGAAGAACAUAUGUGUAAGUAACUGUGCACAUCUUGACGGUACCUAAUCAGAAAGCCACGGCUAACUACGUG
rnacentral:rRNA from 1 species